rnacentral:rRNA from 1 species
CAAUAGCGUAUAUUUAAGUUGUUGCAGUUAAAAAGCUCGUAGUUGGAUUUCGGUUAAGAGCGACCGGUCCGCCGUUUGGUGUGCACUGGUUGGUUUUAACUUCCUGUAGAGGACGUGCUCUGGGUUUAACGACCUGGACUCGGAGUCUACGUGGUUACUUUGAAAAAAUUAGAGUGUUCAAAGCGGGCUUACGCUUGAAUAUUUCAGCAUGGAAUAACACUAUAGGACUCCUGUCCUAUUUCGUUGGUCUCGGGACGGGAGUAAUGAUUAAGAGGAACAGUUGGGGGCAUUCGUAUUUCAUUGUCAGAGGUGGAAUUCUUGGAUUUAUGAAAGACGAACUUCUGCGAAAGCAUUUGCCAAGGAUGUUUUCAUUAA